GACAGAGGUGGCAAGCGUUGCUCGGAUUUACUGGGCUUAAAGGGCGCGUAGGCGGCUUUAUACGUCCGAGGUGGAAUUCCACAGCUUAACUGUGGAACUGCCUUGGAAACUAUAAGGCUUGAGUCAGGUAGAGGAGGGCGGAAUUCCAGGUGUAGCGGUGAAAUGCGUAGAUAUCGGGAGGAAGGCCGGUGGCGAAAGCGGCCCUCUGGGCCUGUACUGACGCUGAGGCGAGAAAGCGUGGGGAGCAAACAGG
rnacentral:rRNA from 1 species